rnacentral:sRNA from 2 species
ACUCAACACUAUUCUAUUAUGAAGGAUGAGUCUUAACUACUAAAGCAUGCCGUUAGUGCUGAAUUUUUAUGCUGGAUUUACUUCAGUAUCAUGUCAGUAUCUCAAACGGAUUCUUGAACAGUUAGUUAAUCCUAUAAAUGUCAUUUUGGAGUUU